rnacentral:rRNA from 1 species
UACGUAGGGGGCAAGCGUUGUCCGGAAUCAUUGGGCGUAAAGAGCGCGUAGGCGGCCCAGUAAGUCCGCUCUGAAAGUCAGGGGCUCAACCCCUGAAUGCGGGUGGAUACUGCUGGGCUAGGAGUCCGGAAGAGGCGAGUGGAAUUCCUGGUGUAGCGGUGAAAUGCGCAGAUAUCAGGAGGAACACCGGUGGCGAAGGCGGGUCUCUGGGCCGGUACCGACGCUGAGGAGCGAAAGCGUGGGGAGCGAACAGG